GGUAUUAUAUUUUAUAUUAGAAAAUUUAAUUUGCAAUUAAAAAGAAAUAAUUCCUUAUUUAAUACCA
rnacentral:tRNA from 1 species